AUAUGUACAGAUUCUAUUCUUAGUUCUUAGGAUUGUUCUAGCCAAAUAUGAAGCUAAAUAUUUGCUCUAUGCAUUUUAGUUGGCAGUGCUACCAUACACCAUGACUUUGACCACUAUAGAUGGACCUGACGAAUCGUCAUGCUAUGCCAACAAUUUCAAGCUCCUUCAAAGGCUUCUCUGAUGACUUCCUGCUGUCGACAGGUUACCUUCCAUUGGGGUAGUCACAAUGGUGAGAUUCCUUAGUGUUCUAUUGAAAUUAUAUAUGCCAUACUUUGCCCUUAUCACUCAAAUUAAAUUAUUUUACAUUUCAUUUCCACACACUACGCUUUACUGUUUAACACGGUCAAAUUGUGUGUUCCUGCGGUAACUAUAUCUGCCAUGGAGUGGCCUUUAUUACUACACAGGCUGUACUUUUGAUGUCUUCAUGUUGUAUUUUCCUAAUGCGCUUAGAGGCUUAGAACAUCGUGCUAUCCACAUAUUGCCACUUCAUGCCAUGAUCCACAUAUAUUCCUGCUCCAAAUUCUUUAACUUACACCAAUUAUAGCUCUCCAAAGAUAGGGACUUAGUUUACUCAUUACCCUUAUUGUAUUGUCCUGUUCAAGGUUACCUCUCUGCCCACCUUAUUGUUUCUAUAUGCUUCUUUUCCAUAUUCUUAUUUAGGGGCUUUUGACCUCCUUUUUCAAGGUACCUGACAUGCAUUAUUCCCAUUGCUUUCAGAUGUUGACCUCCCUUUAUAUCGUGGAUUACUCCAAUUCUUGCAGUUCUGAAAUGAUCAGAAACAACCAUUGAUAUGCACUGAAACAUUGGAAGGGCAACACGCUGCGAGCACAUAUAUAUCAAUCCAUGCAUCAGCACCGAUUGUGUUGACUUAUUUAAGGAUGUCUAGCUUGAACUCAUGCUAUAUGCCUGUAUAAUAUUCCUCCACCUUCAUGAUUUACCACACAAAUUAUAUAUGUAUCUUAUAAAUAGUAUCAAUAUAUACCUCUCCUUAUGAAUUAUUCAUUUUAAAUUAAAUUGAAUUGCAAAUAAUCCCAUAAUCUGUAUUUUGAACAUCCACGCACUUUCUCCAUAUUUAUAAUUUUUCAUAUAGCUGCUCAUGCGCGCGAUGGCACGCGCCCUUUUUUUUCUCGAACAGGAGA
rnacentral:lncRNA from 1 species